rnacentral:rRNA from 1 species
ACGGAAGGCAGCAGUGGGGAAUAUUGCACAAUGGGGGAAACCCUGAUGCAGCGACGCCGCGUGAGUGAAGAAGUUAUUCGUAAUGUAAAGCUCUAUCAGCAGGGAAGAAAAUGACGGUACCUGACUAAGAAGCCCCGGCUAACUACGUGCCAGCAGCCGCGGUAAUACGUAGGGGGCAAGCGUUAUCCGGAUUUACUGGGUGUAAGGGGAGCGUAGACGGUCUGGCAAGUCUGAUGUGAAAGGCAGGGGCUCAACUCCUGGACUGCAUUGGAAACUGUCAGUCUUGAGUGUCGGAGAGGUAAGCGGAAUUCCUAGUGUAGCGGUGAAAUGCGUAGAUAUUAGGAGGAACACCAGUGGCGAAGGCGGCUUACUGGACGAUAACUGACGUUGAGGCUCGAAAGCGUGGGGAGCAAACAGGAUUAGAUACCCUGGUA